UAAGGAGAGGUUGUUAAGAGGUCGCUGUGCUGGGUACCUGAGAGGAGUCUGUGAGAGAGACUACACACAUGCACAACAGAUAAUUUGAAAAAUCUACAGAGCACGACUUCAAUUUACUGGUGCAGUUAAAGGGCUCGGUGGGGGUCUGACAGGCUCCUGGGGAUGUCCAUGCUUGAGGGUCCGGGCCCUUGGCAGCCCUGGUGAGGACAGCUUCCCGAGCCGGGGGCCACUUGGGCUCUCCAUGCCUGGAAUGGAUGGUAGCAGAGGGGGUAUAAAAACACAGGAGGCACAGAUAGCUAGAGUGCACUUCCUUCUGGUUGGCCAUCGGCGCUGUUGGACUGAAGGUUAUAUGUGAGCGGAGGCGCACACAUCAUCUACAGUGGUAAUGAGGGUGUGACCUUCCAUGUUUCAUUUCAAAAUCAAUACCCUCACUUACACGCUAACUCCAUGCUCUGCCCAUUAGACAAAAGGUGAGUCAAAGACAGGGAGACAUGGCAAAGCUCUUUUUUAGCUCCCUUCCAUCUGUAUGAACUAAAAGGUUAGCUGCUAAGUUCUUUAUGCCUCAGAUGAGGGCUAAUUCUAAUUUGUAGCCUGCUAGCUAGGCUAGAUUAUGCACCGUAAUCCACCAGUCCAUGAUAAACUUCAUCUCACCAUCCACCACAGUAAACCUAUAUGUCAGAUCUGGGUUCUCUGUGUAUCUAAACCCCCAUUUCCUACCAGCAUGGGACAAACUAAUGGAUGAAGGCUGACAAUCGCUAAUUAUGCUAAGUGGGACUGAUUAGGAUCCAACAUACUUUCUCUUAGCACACAUUCCUGUCACUCUGCUAAUGAAUUACAACAGCACACAAAGGGUCACUCAGCGGGGGUCAUGCAGUGUCUGUUUACACGCCACGCUAUUCACUGUACACUGAGUGGCCAUGGCUCAUCCAUCACAGUUAAUAUGGUAAACUCACAGUUAGCAGGAGGUUGUUGAUAGCUUUAAGAUUUGACUGGAUGUUGGAGCUUUUGUUGUUGUUUUGUCUUUAUAAUUAACAAUCCCUGGCCUGAAUUUUGUGCUUUUUUUCUGACAUUUUUUAACUUUUGAUUUUGAUCUUUUAUUGUUUUCAUUGUUAUGGUUUCAGUCUCUAAAAACUGUAUCUUGUCUUUUUUUGCUCUUAUUUUCAGUCUUUUUGUUCCCAUGUGAAGCACUUUGGGCCACAAGGCUGUUUAAAUUUCAAACGUCUAACCAGAAUUGUGAUCAUGUUUAACCACCUUAUUAUCUCUAUGCAUACAAACUUACAUGCAACAAUGUGUGCACCUUUUGUCGGGGUAUAUACAGAAAAUCUGACAUUGGAUUCCAUACUUCUUAAAACACUCUUCAUACAUUUAAAACCUAUCACAUCUUCAGUUUCUAACCAGUUGCAUAAACAACACAGCUGUGUUUUUGUGCUGAAAGUAAGACAAGAUAAUGACAAAAAGAAAAUGCCAGUAGUAUUUUUUUUUUAGGAUUUUGAAAUUAUAUUAAGAGAAAUAAGAACCAGAUACCAUAAGGUAGCUGAAUGGAAGGUCUUAUUUUCUCAAUUAGGAGGCUUAAAUGUAGCUAACCUAAAAUCUGGAAGUAUACAUUUACAAGCACUGCCUUUAAAACUAAAAAAAUAAAAGCCUUCAAUUAGGUAUUUUAAAAAAGCAAAGUAUAAUUGCAAAUUUCAGGAUACUUCUAAUCAUUAAUUCUAAUUUUAAAGCAUUGAAGUGUCAGUGAUCACUUUACUGACAAUAACUCACAAUAAUUGAGUUGUAUUCCUUUCAAUAAUUCAUCUCCAUCUCUAGAAAAACUAACCUACUUCCUCUUUGAUGAAUAGGCUAUAAAAAUGAAAUAAAAAUCAAAGAUAAAAAAG